rnacentral:rRNA from 1 species
UACGUAGGGGGCAAGCGUUGUCCGGAUUUAUUGGGCGUAAAGAGCGUGUAGGCGGCUAGGUAGGUCCGUUGUGAAAACUCGAGGCUCAACCUCGAGACGCCGAUGGAAACCAUCUGGCUAGAGUCCGGAAGAGGAGAGUGGAAUUCCUGGUGUAGCGGUGAAAUGCGCAGAUAUCAGGAGGAACACCGGUGGCGAAGGCGGGUCUCUGGGCAGUAACUGACGCUGAGGAACGAAAGCGUGGGUAGCAAACAGG